AUGGCUUUCUCAGUUGAUUAUAUUGAAUGUACAUCUUUAUUUACAGCUGGUACCUUCAUAAUUUUUGAGCAUUCACAUCUGGGAAAAUUCUCUCACCUUUUGUUCAGCUCAGAUGCCCUUAUUCAUGCCACAGGGCAGUCGGUGCUCGGUGAGCGUAUAGCGACCUCCACAUCGCCACCUCACACAGUGACUGCAGAGGGCGGACGCGUCAUCUCACACUCCCAGCACAGCUGGCUAGCGACGGCCGUGGGCAGUGCUGGAACCUUUCAAUGCUUUACUUCUUUUAUCGGCGCUCCUGAUCUUGUACACGAUGAAGCACAGGAGCCCCAUGCCCCAUCCAGAUCUCCUGGUAGACCUGCGUGUAGCGGGGCCUCGUGGGCGUCCCGAGGUUCUUGACAAUACUCUGAAGCAUCUCUGCGCACGUGACCGCCCGGGCCGCACCAGUGCCCACGGAGCCGAAAACGGGAAGGUCAUGGAGCACGCACCAGUAAGACUAUUUCAUUCCACUCGUACUGAACGUCUUAGGCCACCAACUGUCCAUAAAUUUCCAGAAUCCUAGCACUACAAUUAAAAAGCCCUCUACUUCCCGCUCCUUAGUCUAGGACUCAUGGUCACGUGCCUGGUGAUAUGAUCACUAAGAACUGAAGUAAGUCAGCUAUUGCCUUAUCCAUGUCCCAAGAAGUCCCACAGAAGGCUCCACAUUUGGCACAAUAGCAGAAUUAGGUAUUAUUUUAUUAACUUGCGGUGUUCCUGGUAUCAUUUAAUGUGGCAUUCUCAUAAAGCUCUGUUGGGAAGUCAGUUUGGAUUUGUAAUCCAAGCAGAGCUUCUGCCUUUCAUCUUAGCCCAGAAUCAAAACUUAACCCUCCCUGCUUUCUGAUUAGAUAGAUGUUUGGGUGCUGAAAAUCCGUAGAACUGGAGGAGUAAGAUCUAGCCUUGAUCUCUAUAGAGAAGAAUCCCAGAGUAAGCUGGCCACAUAUCUUUAUUUUGGUACUGUUAUCUCUUCUACAGUCAGGAGGCUGGAAUCAGCACAUCAUUAUACCAACUCUUGCCUCUAGCACAGUAUUACUUUAUUCAAGAUUGAAACAGAAAACUGUUACUGCUAUUACAUCAUUGGCUCCAGGAAAUCAUUACUUUUCAGCCAAACAGUGGUCUGGAAGAACUCACAAGAAUGAUUGGGGAGGGGAGGGUGGGAAGAAUCACUAUGUUGCUAAAUUUGUAUACAUGAAAUGCAUAGAGUUUGUAUUCCUUAAAUAAUUUUUUUUUUUUAAAAAAGAAUGAUGAGAUCAAAUUUGUGCUCCACCUGCUGGAUCUGCAAUGGUAGAGAUGGAUGUUUACAACUCUUGACUUCUCAGAGUUCUCAGGAUUGGCAGAACCAAUAUUACAUCUGGAACUCCAG
rnacentral:lncRNA from 1 species